rnacentral:rRNA from 1 species
UACGGAGGGUGCGAGCGUUAAUCGGAAUUACUGGGCGUAAAGGGCUCGUAGGCGGCCAACUAAGUCGGACGUGAAAUCCCCAGGCUCAACCUGGGAACUGCGUCCGAUACUGGAUGGCUUGAAUUCGGGAGAGGGAUGCAGAAUUCCAGGUGUAGCGGUGAAAUGCGUAGAUAUCUGGAGGAAUACCGGUGGCGAAGGCGGCAUCCUGGACCGACAUUGACGCUGAGGAGCGAAAGCUAGGGGAGUAAACGGGAUUAGAUACCCUAGUAGU